AGAGUUUGAUCAGUCGGCUCAGGACGAACGCUGGCGGCGUUGCUUAACACAUGCAAGUCGAACGGUAAGGCCCUUCGGGGUACACGAGUGGCGAACGGGUGAGUAACACGUGGGUGAUCUGCCCUGCACUUCGGGAUAAGCCUGGGAAACUGGGUCUAAUACCGGAUAGGACCAUGGACUUCACGGUUUGUGGUGGAAAGCUUUUGCGGUGUGGGAUGGGCCCGCGGCCUAUCAGCUUGUUGGUGGGGUAAUGGCCUACCAAGGCGACGACGGGUAGCCGGCCUGAGAGGGUGUCCGGCCACACUGGGACUGAGAUACGGCCCAGACUCCUACGGGAGGCAGCAGUGGGGAAUAUUGCACAAUGGGCGCAAGCCUGAUGCAGCGACGCCGCGUGAGGGAUGACGGCCUUCGGGUUGUAAACCUCUUUCAAUAGGGACGAAGCGCAAGUGACGGUACCUAUAGAAGAAGCACCGGCCAACUACGUG
rnacentral:rRNA from 1 species